CGCUGUUGUAGGCUGGCUCAGCGGACCCUUGAAAUUGGCUCUCUAGCCCACUGGAUUCCAAUGAACCCUUUUUCCUAGAAUUCAGCAGGGAUUCAUUUGAUCCUAGUUUGUUGGCUUGAGAUAAUAGGGCUCCUUCAAUACAGAUCCGCUUCUGCAUAUCUGGGCUUAUGUCAUUUGACUUCAAAACUUUAUGGACUCUGGAUGAGGGUUCUGAUUUCCUUCUCACUCUCUGUUGAGUAGCGCCUUCUUUAGGCUGGUACGUUGAUUUUGUUUCUCCCUCG
rnacentral:lncRNA from 1 species